GAUGAACGCUGGCGGCGUGCCUAAUACAUGCAAGUCGAGCGAACAGACGAGGAGCUUGCUCCUCUGACGUUAGCGGCGGACGGGUGAGUAACACGUGGAUAACCUACCUAUAAGACUGGGAUAACUUCGGGAAACCGGAGCUAAUACCGGAUAAUAUAUUGAACCGCAUGGUUCAAUAGUGAAAGACGGUUUUGCUGUCACUUAUAGAUGGAUCCGCGCCGCAUUAGCUAGUUGGUAAGGUAACGGCUUACCAAGGCAACGAUGCGUAGCCGACCUGAGAGGGGGAUCGGCCACACCGGAACUGAGACACGGUCCAGACUCCUACGGGAGGCAGCAGUAGGGAAUCUUCCGCAAUGGGCGAAAGCCUGACGGAGCAACGCCGCGUGAGUGAUGAAGGUCUUCGGAUCGUAAAACUCUGUUAUUAGGGAAGAACAAAUGUGUAAGUAACUAUGCACGUCUUGACGGUACCUAAUCAGAAAGCCACGGCUAACUACGUG
rnacentral:rRNA from 1 species